GAUCUCGUGCUGUAGUGGUUAUUACAUCUAUCUAACACACAGAAGGUCGGCGGUUCGAGCCCGCACGAAAUCA
rnacentral:tRNA from 1 species